rnacentral:rRNA from 1 species
UACGGAGGAUCCAAGCGUUAUCCGGAUUUAUUGGGUUUAAAGGGUGCGUAGGCGGCCUAUUAAGUCAGGGGUGAAAGACGGUGGCUCAACCAUCGCAGUGCCUUUGAUACUGAUAGGCUUGAAUACACUAGAGGUAGGCGGAAUGUGACAAGUAGCGGUGAAAUGCAUAGAUAUGUCACAGAACACCAAUUGCGAAGGCAGCUCACUACUCAAUCAUUGACUCUGAGGCACGAAAGCGUGGGGAUCAAACAGG